AUUGAACGCUGGCGGCAGGCCUAACACAUGCAAGUCGAACGAGUGGCGGACGGGUGAGUAAUGUCUGGGAAACUGCCUGCUGGAGGGGGAUAACUACUGGAAACGGUAGCUAAUACCGUAUACCAUUGGAUGUGCCCAACUGGGAUUAGCUAGUUGGUGGGGGAAAGGCUCACCUAGGCCAAGAUCCCUAGCUGGUCUGAGAGGAGGUCCAGCCACACGGGAACUGAGACACGGUCCAGACUCCUACGUGAGGCAGCAUGGGGGAAUAUUGCACAAUGGGCGCAAGCCUGAUGCAGGCAUGCCGCGUGUAUGAAGAAGGCCUUCGGGUUGUAAAGUACUUUCAGCGGGGAGGCGUUACCCGCAGAAGAAGCACCGGCUAACUCCGUGCCAGCAGCCGCGGUAAUAC
rnacentral:rRNA from 1 species